CACUUGGGACUGUAGCCUGCCAGGCUCCUCUGUCUAUGGAGAUUCUCCAGGCAAGAAUACUGAAGUGGGUUACCAUUUCCUACUCCAGGGGAUCUUAAUCCGGAGAUUGUCUUAUGUCUCCCGCAUUGGCAGGGGGUCAAUUCUUUCCUGCACAUCAUUCACGGUUGCCUUGAGUUGGGUCGACCACACCCCCAGUGCCCUCUGCAAUCCAGAACUCUUCCAAGUCUCUGGAAAUUUGGGAGAAUGAAGGGACAUUUGCAAGUAUAGCUUGAAAAGGCAUAUCAAUUCUAUUUUCCUUUGCAGAGGUGGUAAGCCAUUGCCUGUAGGACAUAUCUCAUCUGCUGCUUCUUUUUGUAAAUAUAAUUGUAUUGCCAUACAGAUAUGCUCAUUUGUUUAUCUAUUGUCUAAUGCUGCCCUUAUGCUCUAACAGCAGAGUUGUAUAGUUGCAAUGGAGGCUAUAUGGCACAAAAAGCUUAAAAUAUUUGCUGUUGGCUCCUUUAUAGAUAAAGUAAGUGUUCCAACCCUUGUUCUUCUCUGUUUCCAUAAUUUUAACUGAGGGUAUUGCUGAUCAUUAAAAGAGGAUCAGAUUAAAAGAUUAAUAAACAUUCUCAAGUGAAAAUAAAAUGAAGCAGAAGAUGG
ensembl:lncRNA